CUGGUUGUACAUGUCGUGUGUCCGGACUUCUUGAAUGGUGAUUGGUGAUCGAAAUUUUUUUUAGCAUUUGUAGGUUUAGAAGUAAUCCCUAUUCAAAAUGAGUAAUUUGGUUGAUAAUGUAUUUACAAUGCAAUACCUCUCCCAGGAACAUCUUAUUGGAUUUGAAAAUUAUAAGUACAGUGCAAAGGACACCAGCCCCCUCAGCAAAUAUGUUAUGCACCCUUUCUGGAACGCUGUGGUCAAGUUGUGUCCACGUUCAGUGGCCCCCAAUGUGCUGACAUUCGUGGGCUUCCUGUUCACAGCAUCAAACUUCGUGCUGUUGUCGUACUAUGACUAUUAUUAUUACGGGGCCAGUGACGCGCCCCCCGGUGAUGCCUACCCUUCCAUACCGCGGUGGUUAUGGUUCCUUAUGGCCCUCAACCACUUCCUCGCACACACCUUAGACGGCAUAGACGGUAAACAGGCGCGACGCACCAACACCAGCGGUCCGCUGGGGGAACUCUUCGACCACGGGCUAGACUCCUGGACGGCUUUCUUCAUCCCCGCCUGCCUGUGGUCGGUCUUUGGCCGAAACGACUUCAGCAUUACACCGUGGCGUUUUUAUUUCGUUUUAUUUAACGUACUUAUUUGCUUUUACACCUCACACUGGGAGAAAUACCUCACCAAAGUUCUAUUCUUACCCUGGGGGUAUGAUGUGUCGCAGGUGAUCAUAUUCGUCAUCUACAUAUUGACGGGUAUCUUUGACACGCAAUUAUGGAAAUUCGAGCUGUACCCUGGCGUGCCAAGCGGCUCUAUGUUCGAGUUCAUGCUAUACGCUGGCUCCCUCGCUUCCAGUCUACCUAUGUCUUUCUACAACAUCUACUGCAGCUAUAGAGACGGUACAGGCAAAAUGUUAGGCUUAGUGGAGGCCGUUAGGCCGCUAUGGAACCCUGCUGUACUCUUCGCGAUCUGCACGCUCUGGCUUGUGAAGUCUCCCACAGACAUCGUCGACCGCGACCCUCGGCUAUUCUUGUACCUCAUUGGAGUUAUCUUUGCGAAUAUCAAUUGUCGGCUGAUCGUGUCACAAAUGUCGGGCUCAAGAUGCGAGCUGCUGAACUGGCAGUUGCUGCUGCUGGCAGCGUGUAUGUUCGCGUCCUUCCUACUGCCCUCCACGGAGAUGUUCUUCCUAGUCGCACUCAGCGUUGUGGCGACUGCAGCUCAUAUUCAUUACGGCGUCCAGGUGGUUCGUCAGAUGUGCGAUCACUUCCACAUCCAGUGCUUCUCGAUCAAAGACAGGAUCGAUUGACUGCUUGCCGACACCGCCUAGACAACGCUGCCUUCUAGUGCACCUCUUGGGAAAUCUAUCAGGCUUAGUCGUGGUCACUAAGCAACCACGAAUAAUCCAGUACAGAUUUUUUCCAGGAGGUUAGGACCGUGCGCGUGACAAUACUCAUCUUAAUUUGCUCGUCCACCGCAUUGCUGUAGAAUCUGGUCCCUUAGUUUAAAUCUGAAUUUGCUACGGCUGUCAACUAAGUAGAUUAAUCGUAUAAAUUUGCGCAACAAUUUUCAAAAUCAAUAUUAUGGAGUGAGAAAAGCUUCAAUGGCUUUCAUAAUUUUACAAAAUAUUGAGGGAACUAAGCAAGCAAGAUUCUUAGACUUCGAUCUUGCAUCGAUUUACUACGUUUGAUGAUUGAAUAAUAAUAAUAAUGAAUCAAGUCAUUUAUUAAAUCACUUUUUAAGCAUUAACCCAAGAUACACGACAAUAUCUAUUUUGUAUUGUAUAAACUCUCGAUCAUUUCGUCCGCAUGUCUUGCCUUCAUUCGGCGUGCGCUUUUUCAAUCCAACUUUCGUGAGUCGCCAAAUCGCGACGACUUUUAUUGCACUCGCGUUCCGUACCUCGGCAGCAAGAGCCUUUGAUUCAAAUUAAUUAAUUUGCCUAAAUAAGCUGUCUUGAGCUUUUCCAAGAUCUCAAUUUCACAGUUAAUAAUUUCGAUACAGUUCAAUGGUUCAUAUGACACCAUAAAAAAUUUCCAACAAAUGAUUGAAUUCUUAGCCGCCGUUAUGCCGGUCACGAGUUAAUUUAUAAAGCCGGAGCUUGUGCUGGAUGAAAGAGAGUUAAAUUAUAAACAUGUUCAGGAAGAGAUGCCAUUUGUACUCUAUUUUUACAGUGAUCAUUAUCCAGCAGUGUAGGUGAGAGUGACAGUUCGAGUAUUAAACGUAACGGUCUCGUGCUAGUAUCGCUACUCCGUCUCGCCUAAUUACCAUACUGCUGCUCCUACUGAAUUUCCCGUGUGAUUGUUUCGUUCAACUUGCAAUAAGCUUCAAAGAGAAUUUGUUACUGAAAUAAUAGUAUUUGAGACCAUAUAUAUGUCCACUAAGGUAUCAUGACGACGUGUGGGUUAAGGGUUACGAAGCGAUGCUUCGUAGAGGCCUAGGUACACGUAGCCGAUUUCUGGCCUGUGAUUGAUGGGAUUAAAUUGAAAAGGCGUCAGUGGUUGUCUGAAAUCGUAACUAAUCUUGAUUGUACAGCCUCUGUUUGCCGAGUGCCAUGCGUGAUCAACUCGUCAUGUGUUGUGACGUCUGAAUCUUAAUUCUGAGAUUUCAGGAUGCCCUCCAUACGUCUUGCCAGCUCGCCUCAUGCCAUCCUUUACGAAUGCAUGAAAUUUGAAUUCAUCUACGAAAAAUGUGUAUAGCAGCUGCUUGAUUCAAAAUUUUUGCUGUUUUCAAUGGAUGAAGUUUUUCAUUUUCGCUGUUUUCGAUGGACAGAUUCUCAUACUCAAUUUUUUGUUGCAACGCUUAUGUUUGGGCGAUACUACGCGAACGUAAUACUUUUAAAUCUUCAUCUAAAUUCAAAAAUAAUUCAUUGCGUUCUAAAAAUUCUUCAAACUAGAGUGCAAGUUAUGUAAUAAUAACUUGAUAUGAGGACUGUCUGGAGGUGAGAAUUAGUGCAUAGGGUGCCGGUGCUGUUCUCUUACGGAGCUCUUCUUUCUCAACUGCUUGGUGUCGCCACGGGCUAUUCCUUAGACUUUCACUAACCCAAGAGCUGGAGCUGAAAAGAACUGCAACUGUUGCAAGAAUUACUUCUAUUGCAAGAACUGCUACUGUUGCAAGAACUACUUAUUUUGCAAGAACUACUUACAUUGCAAGAACUACUACUACUGUUGCAAGAACUGCAACUGUUUCCAGAACCCACGAUGCUUGGUCUCACACUCUUCACGGUUCACUGAUGGUUCUCAAAAAUCUCUAGGUCUUCUACUCAGCUGUCGCAGCGCUUCUUACAACACAGAGGGAGGCGCUCAGCUCGUCGCGCUUCUUCAGCUCAAUCCAUGCAUGGUUAAAGCUUCAGCUUCUUUCGUAAUCAGAAACGUCUUUCAAAUAUUUUAUUAUACGCGAUUUUAUCCGAUGUCGAAUCGUGUACCUUUCGGUUUUUCUUGAAAAACAACCAAAAUGUCAAGUUUCAUCAAGUGCAGCUAUAUACCUACACUUUCCUUUAAAUACUUCCCCCCCCCCAGUUGCACAAAAUUCGAAUGAAGAAAUUGUUUGUUGAACGAUCAAAUCAUAAGGAUAUGAAGUCCGGAGCAGCUUAAGGUCUAUGACGCGGGGCGCUGUAGUGGCAGCGUUGUGUGGGCGAUGUCGCAUAAGAAGUUUUAAUUUUAAGAUUCACUUGACAAAUUUUCUCUCCGUGUUGAUGGUAUUUACUCUUCAAAGCACUUUGCAUGAUUCGUCUUAAAUUCUCUUCAUCGUUUCAAUUUCACGGGAGAACUUUCCUAACGAUGUCUUGGCUUUGAAAUUUAGUGCUCAUUGCAUUUUUAAACGGAUUAUCACUAGAAUGAUAUAUUCUCUCAAUAAUUUUUACUAGUUUCUUUCCAUUUGUUAUGCUAAAUUUAAUUUGAUGGCGAAGUGCUUUUAAGUAUUCAAAAGUAUUAAAAUUUUCCUACCCUUGCAAACACAAGUUUCAUUUAGAUAAUGUUUAUCUCAUCUUGUGUGAAACUUCACUAGGUUUGUUUCAACACAAUUUUCUUUUGUCUUGACCAUAUACACGACGCCAAGAUUGUUUCAUUGCCUAAAGUAUAAAAUCUUUCCCCCAGUUCAUUAUUUCGUCAUUUUCGCAGAAUUUUAUUUUUGGUGCGUUCCUAAAUUCUUUAUUGAAUCUCCCCUUUUUAGUAAUUUGACAUUUUUAGUCUCAUAUUCAUUCGGUCCUCGGAAAUUACUAGGAUUUUUUUUUCUUCUCUUCUUCAAAAAGAGACUUCGAAACGCAGUGAAAGUUCACACCUCCUUUGGUGUCCUUCUUUAGUUUAUUGUUACUUUUAGUCCUGCGAACUUGUCAUGUAAUUUUAUUUCAACAGGAUGUUUUUUUGUUUUAGUUCGUUUAUUAUGUGUGUGUACAUCAGUAGCCUAAUUAUUCAUUGUGUUCGGAGUUCCUUUCUUGGAUUCAUAAUACUCUCACACGUGCGAUAAUUAGUGCAAGUAUUGUAAAAAGUUUCCGUUAGCACAGCAAUUUUCUUUCAGCAAUAUCUUCUCGAGUGUCUGUGCUCGUCAGAAGUCCUAUGGGAUUUCGCGCUCCUUGGGGGAUUGUUCCUGAGCGCCUCACCGCU
rnacentral:misc_RNA from 1 species